rnacentral:lncRNA from 1 species
CUCGGAUGUUUAUGUGAAGGUGGACAUGUUCUUUCCUUGUUCAAUGUGGUAGCAGCUAGCCACGUGUGUUCAACGGAUACUAGAAAUGGAGUCAACACAACCAAGAGAAUGUGAACACACAGAGAAACGUAAGGGAUGCACAGAGGGAAGACUGCAUGAAGAUACAACUAGAAAAAGCCAUGUGCAAGAAAGGGCAAGCAAUCUCGGGAGAAGCUUGCUCUGCAUCCUUGAACUUCCAGACUUCAGAACUGCAACAAAAUAAAUGGUACUUAUGCUCUCCAGUCAUGUGUUUACCAUGGCAGUCUAACAAAUAAGUUGGUCAUUUGGCCCCCAUAUGCCAAAAUGCAGGUUCCAACUGGUCAUCUAAUGCUUUCACCCACAUGUCCAUAUACCCUAAGACCCAGCUUUGGUGGUUCUUAUAUGAUUGAUGGUCUCUGUUCGGACAAUCUGUGUUGGUUGUUCUUUCCUGAGGCUUGCUUCUAGAUCCAGUUCACAUCCUUCAUCCUCUAUGACUAGGAAAGCCAUCCCAGAUAAGUGGUCCUCCCUUUGCUCUCUGCUGGUUCCGCAUCUUCAAGUAUAUACUCUCCUCUUCUCCUGCUUAGUUGUUAGAGGGUCAUGAUCAAAGUGUGUAGAAAGAAUGCCUUUCUAAGUCUCUCUCCAAGCUGUGGGUCACUGAAGUACAGCUGGCCAGUGAGAUGACUCUGGAAGCUGUUAGGUGGAGUUUAAGAAGGGCCUCUAAGUGGGCUGCAGAUGUAGUCUUCCUUCUCUGCUUUUCACUCUUUCCCAUUAUUUCUCAAUGGAGUAGACAUGGUACUUACCUUGAAACUACAGGGGCCGUCGAGAUCUAAAAUGUUCUUAGCCCACGAAGAUAAUUUGUGAGAUGAGAAAUGUGUCAGUUAUCU